UACGAAGGGGGCUAGCGUUGUUCGGAUUUACUGGGCGUAAAGCGCACGUAGGCGGACUAUUAAGUCAAAGAUGAAAUCCCGGAGCUCAACUCCGGAACUGCCUUUGAUACUGGUAGUCUAGAGACCGAGAGAGGUAAGUGGAACUCCUAGUGUAGAGGUGGAAUUCGUAGAUAUUAGGAAGAACACCAGUGGCGAAGACAACUUACUGGCUCGGAACUGACGCUGAGGUGCGAAAGCGUGGGGAGCAAACAGG
rnacentral:misc_RNA from 1 species